rfam:Aedes albopictus isolate Foshan contig18301, whole genome shotgun sequence.
UGUACUGUGGCUUAGUUGGUUAAAGCGCCGGACUAGCGAUUCGGAGUCGUGGGUUUGAAUCUCACCAAAACAA